UUGCCAUCUAGCUUCAGGUCUUCAAGACCCAGGAGUGGAGGACAGUGGGACGCCGAGCCCUUCUCCUGACCCGACGGUCCUGAUGCAAGCCCUUCUGGAAAUCCCCUGCGGCUGUGCCAGGAGCCCAGGCUGCUGUGGGUGGAGCCCUCGUCCCUGGCCCGGCCUGCCAGGCUCCGUGCUCCCCGAAGGGGCCCAACUCUGGGCACUUGGGAGAGAAGGGAACGACCCUCCCCCGCGGCCCUCAAACCCACAGGCUGAUGGGAAAGGUCAGACCCAGGGGCUGGGUGAGGUAUGGGGAGGUACUUACUGCCAGGUUCCUCCUGGGUCUGGAAUCUGCAAAAAGCAAAGAACAGCAGCUUCAGCCAGGAGGGGGCGGCCACCAACCCCCCCCCCACCUGUCAGCUUUCCCGCAAGAACUUUUUUCCUGAGCUGCUUUCUUCUGCAGCGACCUGGAUUCCGGGAACAACAGGUCUGAUUGACAGGCAUCUUGAUGGCAAGAAGGGCCAGGUUGGCAGCACAGAUCCCCCGUGAUGAGCUCCCCUCCAAGCAGGGGCGGUGUCCCAGGAAGGAGCCCAGGCAGCCCGGAGGCAUGAUGGGGACUGAAUCAUCCCCUCAAGCCAUGAAGCAGGAUCGCCUCCUUCGCCAGCAUUCCCCCGCACUAUAAGACCUCCAGGUUUCUGUCAGCCGCUCUGUCACUGUGCCUCUGUAUCUGUCCUCCCGGUGUGGCCAUUAAAGCCCCUUUCCUUCCCUUCCCCACCACUGGGGACGGGCAGAUGGAACAGAGGGCUGACUGUGGCCGUGGGACUCCAGUUACAACCUGAAAUCCCCUAAUUUUUGAAUGUAGUCUUGAUUCUUUAAGGGAUUUUUUUGAAUCAACUUUAUUGUGGCAUAAUUUUUUUUUUUAAGUGCUGGGGAUCAAACCCAGGACCGGCGCAUGCUAGACAAGUGCUAAACGGUGCUCACCCACUGAGCUACACCCCCAGCUCCCAGGCAUAAUUCAUGUACAUGAAAAAGUCCCCUCCGUGCACAGCUUAAUGAAUUCUGAUGAAUGUAAUUAUAACUCCAAUCAAAACAGAAACCAUGGGGCUCCGUGGUAGAGCACUUGCCCCACAUGUGUGAGGCACUGGGUUUGAUUCUCAGCACCGAAUAUAAAUAAAUGAAAAAAUAAAGGUCCAUUAACAACGAAAAAAUAUUUAAAAAAAAAGAAAAGAAACAGAAACCACUUCUAGAGCCCCACAAAGUUCCCUGGCGGCUCUCCUCCUCCCCCAGCCCUCCCCAGCCUGUAGGCACGGCCAGCCAUUGACCUGCUUCACAUCCCCACGGGGGAGUCGCCUGUUCCAGAAUCUCAUACAGACGGAUGCAUUCAGCGCGUGCUCUUUGGUGCCUGCCUUCUUUCACACGGAAUAACGUUUCCGAGAUUCACCCUGCAUCAGGACCCUUUUAUUGCCCGUAGCAAGCUGCCAUAGCGGUGGGACACUGUCAUAUGUCUGCUCGUGAAUUGACUGGCCUUGGGCUUAUCGUCAGUUUGAAGCUAGUUCAGCUAAAGCAGCGUAUCAUUUCCUUUCUCUCCUACCCAGGAGGGGUGGCUGGGUUGUCCUGUUGGACAAAGUGUUCCGAGCUGGUCACCUCUGAUCUGACCCAGUGACCAUGUUGUACAGAUGUAGAGGACCACAGAGCUCAAGACAGAGCCAGGACGCAGGGAGGGGCAAGGGCCAGCCCAGGGCUCUCUCCAUUGGACCACACCACCCCCUGCCUGUGGCCUGGGCACCUUCUUAUAAGCUUACCAUUAACUGCUUUUCUGAAGCAGAAAAAAUUUGGCCCACAUUUGAAACAGGCUGUGACUCAUUACUACACCUCUCUAACCCACAGCCCUGGUGGCUGCACUUCUUUGAUGUGGUACAAAGAACCCCCUCAACACACCUCCUUUCCAGAAAGAUCUCACAGUGCAUCUCAAUUUUUUCCUAAAACACCCAGAAGAGACAGUGGGACCCUGAUUAGUCUCCUUCGGCUGCUCAGGUCCUCAGGAAUUCUCCUCUUUAGGGAGGUCUCCCAAGACAGAUGCUGCAUAUCUUUUCCACCUAUUUCCUGGAUUACUGGUACCUGAAUCAGCUGAAGUCUGGUGGCCAUAGGGUACGGGAAGUGGAUGUCAUUUGUUAGGAGAGCCUCUCUAUAUUAGUAAGUCAGCAUUUGAACUGGCAUUUGAAAUGUCAUUGGACUUCAGUGAGCUCUACUUUGAGAGGACAGGGAGUUCUGGGGCCCAAACACAUGCAUCGUGUCUACACCCAAUCAAUGCUAUGAGAGCAGAGAGAGUCCCAUGUCUCCCAGUGGCAGCCUGGUGUGGUCAGACAGCCCAGGGUCUGAGCUGCUGCUGGGACACCUGCUGGAAUCCAGCAGCAGAGCUGCUGUCCCUCCUCUAAACACAGAGGGACUCCCUGGGUGCCUCUCAUUCCCUCUCCAGAGGGAAUGUAACUUCCUCCUCCCUCCCUGGGUUAGUGACCCUCCCUGUUUUUCUCCUCCUUUGGAUCAGGAGAUAAAGAAGAGGCUCUGUCUAACCCCCUAGGUAGUCUGACUUGUUCUCUGGUAAGGGUCUACUAGAAGAGUGGGGAGGGUCUUCCUACUUUUAGGUUCCAUUUAGGAACUUAAAAAAAAAAAAGACAUUGGGGAGGAUCAUGAACUGAAAUUGAUUUCCA